rnacentral:tRNA from 1 species
GCAGUCGUGGCGGAAGUGGUAUACGCGCAAGACUAAGGAUCUUGUGAGCCAAGCUCGUGCAGGUUCAAGUCCUGUCGACUGCA